CCUCCCUCAGCAUGGCGUGCACACCUGCGCGGGGAAGGGCGGGUGCGCGGCGGGCGCGGCUGUAUCAGAGGACCCGGCCACCCGCUCCUCGUCCUGGCACAGGUCGGGCACUUCCCAAACCCUCUGACUUUAGACGGUCUUUAAAAUGGAUCCAUUCGCCUCCCCGCCCUCGCCGCGGUUUUUGACAUAAGAAAAUGAGGCCCAGAGAGGGUAAAUGGCUUCCCCGAGUUCCACAGUAAAUUCGUGGCAGAGCUGGGUCUCGUAUUGAGCCCCCCAACUUAAAGCCCCAAGACCCCUUGCACUCCAGUAAUCUCUCCUCGCUAUGGUCUAGCUGGAGAUAAAAGCCGAACCGUCGGGGAAGGCGCCAACACCCAACGAACGAUCUGCAAAUGAAGUCGCUGGUCCUGAGGAUAAGGCUGCCACGGAUUCAAACCCACUUCCCAGAGAGUCUGGUGUAUCUACAGUGAGCCAGCAAAACAGGGUGCUGAGUGCCACUCCAGCUAGUGGCUGGCUGAGAUCCAGUUUAAUGGGGUAGACUCUUCCAAAGCCAGAUCACCGC